GUACGUACAAGCAGUGGGAGCACAGGUUUACCUGUGUGACUGCGUACCUUUUGUAUAAUGGGUCAGCGACUUAUAUUCUGUAGCAAGGUUAACCGUAUAGGGGAGCCGAAGGGAAACCGAGUCUUAACCGGGCGUUAAGUUGCAGGGUAUAGACCCGAAACCCGGUGAUCUAGCCAUGGGCAGGUUGAAGGUUGGGUAACACUAACUGGAGGACCGAACCGACUAAUGUUGAAAAA
rnacentral:rRNA from 1 species